UACAUGUGGGGCAAGCGUUGUUCGGAAUUACUGGGCAUAAAGGGUGCGUAGGCGGUUUGUUUAGUCACUGGUGAAAGUUUUCGGCCCAACCGGAAAAUUGCCUGUGAUACUGGCGAACUUGAGUGCGUGAGGGGUGGGGGGAACGAGCAGUGUAGCGGUGAAAUGCGUAGAUAUUGCUCGGAAGGCCGGAGCCGAAGGGGCCCCACUGGUACGUAACUGACGCUGAAGCACGAAAGCGUGGGGAGCAAACAGG
rnacentral:rRNA from 1 species